GGGGAAUAUUGCGCAAUGGGGGAAACCCUGAGGCGGCAAUACCGCGUGGGGAAAGAAGGUUUUGGGAUCGUAAAGUCCUGUUAUGGGGGAAGAAAAAAGGACGGUACCCAAGAAGAAAUGCCCGCCAAACUAGUGGCCAGCAGCCGCGGUAAUACGUAGGGGACAAGCGUUGUCCGGAUUUACUGGGCGUAAAGGGCACGCAGGCGGUUUUUUAAGUCAGAUGUGAAAGGUACCGGCUCAACCGGUGACAUGCAUUUGAAACUGAAAGACUUGAGUAUUGGAGAGGCAAGUGGAAUUCCUAGUGUAGCGGUGAAAUGCGUAGAUAUUAGGAGGAACACCGGUGGCGAAGGCGGCUUGCUGGACAAAUACUGACGCUGAGGUGCGAAAGCGUGGGGAGCAAACA
rnacentral:rRNA from 1 species